rnacentral:rRNA from 1 species
AUUGAACGCUGGCGGAAUGCUUUACACAUGCAAGUCGAACGGCAGCACGGGGGCAGCCCUGGUGGCGAGUGGCGAACGGGUGAGUAAUACAUCGGAACGUGCCCGGUCGUGGGGGAUAACGUAGCGAAAGUUACGCUAAUACCGCAUACGAUCUGAGGAUGAAAGCGGGGGACCUUCGGGCCUCGCGCGAUCGGAGCGGCCGAUGUCAGAUUAGGUAGUUGGUGGGGUAAAGGCCUACCAAGCCGACGAUCUGUAGCUGGUCUGAGAGGACGACCAGCCACACUGGGACUGAGACACGGCCCAGACUCCUACGGGAGGCAGCAGUGGGGAAUUUUGGACAAUGGGCGCAAGCCUGAUCCAGCCAUUCCGCGUGCAGGACGAAGGCCUUCGGGUUCUAAACUGCUUUUGUACGGAACGAAAAGGCUCUGGCUAAUACCUGGGGCUCAUGACGGUACCGUAAGAAUAAGCACCGGCUAACUACGUG